AAAAAGGCAAAACGUGAGUUCUCGUGCCAACGUUUAACUGUCCGUCCUAUAUGAAAUUUUUUAUAAUUAGUAUUUUUUUAUAUGAUAAAACAUGAUUAAUAUUUUAUGCGUGACUUAUCUUUUUAAUUUUUUCAUAACUUUUUCAAAUAAGACGAACGGUCAAACGUUGGACACGAAAACCAGUGUUUGUCUUUUUU
rfam:Oryza glumipatula chromosome 2, whole genome shotgun sequence.